GACGAACCGUGCGACCGUUGUUCGGAAUCACUGGGCUUAAAGGGCGCGUAGGCGGGCCGCAAAGUCAGGGGUGAAAGCCUCCAGCUCAACUGGAGAAGUGCCUCUGAUACUGGCGGCCUCGAGGGAGAUAGGGGCGUGCGGAACUUCCGGUGGAGCGGUGAAAUGCGUAGAUAUCAGGAGGAACACCAAUAGCGAAGGCAGCUCGCUGGGACGGUACUGACGCUGAGACGCGAAAGCGUGGGGAGCGAACAGG
rnacentral:rRNA from 1 species